rnacentral:lncRNA from 1 species
CCUCCCUUCCCACCCCAUCUGCAGGAAGAAAGUUAACUUUUAUUAGAACUAUGUUUCCUGGGCUCAUACUUGAUUCAAUAAUGGCAAGGUUUGAGUAACCCUGACUAUGGAGCAGUUAUAAGGGAAGCAUGGGAAAAUUGGAAUGUUUGACCUUCUUUGAAAUGGUCAUCGCUGUCUGGACAGACCUUCUAAUGCUCCUGGAGCAAUCUCUGCCUGAAAUGUGAGCUGAAUUCUAAGGAAGAUUGAAUUCUGACUCCUUUUGCACUGGGAAGCCAAGCAACCACACAACUUGCAGGACCUGGGAUAGUUUUCUUCUCAUGGUAAGACUUCCUGGAGUUGUAUUAAAGACUGUCCUGUUCUUUUAAAGUCACUUUAGUACCCUAUGGUGGU